rnacentral:rRNA from 1 species
UACGUAGGGUGCAAGCGUUGUCCGGAAUUAUUGGGCGUAAAGAGCUCGUAGGCGGUGUGUCGCGUCUGCUGUGAAAACUCAGGGCUCAACUCUGAGCUUGCAGUGGGUACGGGCACACUUGAGUGCGGUAGGGGAGACUGGAAUCCUGGUGUAGCGGUGAAAUGCGCAGAUAUCAGGAGGAACACCGGUGGCGAAGGCGGGUCUCUGGGCCGUAACUGACGCUGAGGAGCGAAAGCAUGGGGAGCGAACAGG